rnacentral:lncRNA from 1 species
GUUUCACAAAAAUUUUAAAAUUUGAUCAUAAGUAUACUGAAAUGAUUGUGACUUAGGAAUAACUGAAAUAUCAAGAUUUUUUGUGAAACUAACAAUAAAUAUAUAUAACAUAAAUCUAAAACACAUUGAAAAAAUCUGUAAUUUAUGUUGUGUGCUUGCAGGUCAGUUGAUGAAAGCUUAACAGAUUGAAAGUAUAAACAAACAAAAAAAAACAUGCACGCAGC